GUUGAGGGGAAUGUCGUCUGGUUCGAGAUCUUUCGGUAUUGAAAGAUAAAUCAACACAUGAUAUCAUGAUGAUCAUGAUCAUGAUCACCUGAAUGAUUUCGGACCAGGCUUCAUUCCCCUCAAC
rfam:Morus notabilis contig13924, whole genome shotgun sequence.